rnacentral:rRNA from 1 species
AAUCAACGCUGGCGGCGUGCCUAACACAUGCAAGUCGAGCGGGAAAGGGGGCUUCGGGUCCCUGAGUAUAGCGGCGGACGGGUGAGUAACACGUGGGUAAUUUGCCCUUGGGUGUGGGAAUAACUCAGGGAAACUUGAGCUAAUACCGCAUGACAUCCCCUUCUCACAGGAGUUGGGGAUCAAAGCCGGGACCCUUCGGGGCCUGGCGCCUGAGGAGAAGCCCGCGCCCGAUUAGCUAGUUGGGAGGUAAUGGCUCACCAAGGCUUCGAUCGGUAGCCGGCCUGAGAGGGCGGACGGCCAC